UUGUAUCCUUAAUGAAGAGAAGAGGAGGAAAGGCACAAGCACUUCUGAGUCUCAUGCACUUGUUACAGAAAGUCAAGGGAGAACCUGCCUUGACUUCUC